AUGACUUCGAACAUUUCUCUGGAAUCCACUGAUGUUGACACUAGUCACAAGAUUGAAAAAACAAAGUCAUGCAACGGAGUGCAGCGACCAGGCGACAGUUACCUGAACGUUCUGGUGGCACCAACAGCGAAUGAUGAGAUGAUGAUGGAGGAGCUGCUAUUGAGAUAUAAGCCCAGUUCCUCGAUGUUUUUUUCCAUGGAAUGUGUCACACUUUUAGGGAGGAAAUACCAGAUUCAUGACAACAUCUUGUCUGUGCAUAGCAGGGUAGUGCAGCCACAGCACCUGACAUGCACUUGAGGACUUCACGCUC